rnacentral:rRNA from 1 species
AGUUUGAUCAUGGCUCAGAUUGAACGCUGGCGGCAUGCCUUACACAUGCAAGUCGAACGGCAGCACGGGAGCUUGCUCCUGGUGGCGAGUGGCGAACGGGUGAGUAAUACAUCGGAACGUACCCUGAAGUGGGGGAUAACGUAGCGAAAGUUACGCUAAUACCGCAUAUUCUGUGAGCAGGAAAGAGGGGGAUCGCAAGACCUCUUGCUUUAGGAGCGGCCGAUGUCGGAUUAGCUAGUUGGUGAGGUAAAGGCUCACCAAGGCGACGAUCCGUAGCGGGUCUGAGAGGAUGAUCCGCCACACUGGGACUGAGACACGGCCCAGACUCCUACGGGAGGCAACAGUGGGGAAUUUUGGACAAUGGGCGCAAGCCUGAUCCAGCCAUGCCGCGUGAGUGAAGGAGGCCUUCGGGUUGUAAAGCUCUUUCGGUGGGGAAGAAAUUGCUUCGGUUAGUACCUGGAGUAGAUGACGGUACCCGCAUAAGAAGCACCGGCUAACUACGUG